rnacentral:rRNA from 1 species
CACACCGCCGUCACAUCACGAAAGUGGGCCGUACUAGAAGUCGGUGAGCCAACCGCAAGGGGCAGCCGCCCAAGGUACAGCUCAUGAUUGGGUG